AGUGAACGCUGGCGGUAGGCCUAACACAUGCAAGUCGAACGGCAGCACAGGAGAGCUUGCUCUCUGGGUGGCGAGUGGCGGACGGGUGAGGAAUACAUCGGAAUCUGCCCAGUCGUGGGGGAUAACGUAGGGAAACUUACGCUAAUACCGCAUACGACCUUCGGGUGAAAGAGGGGGAUCGCAAGACCUCUCGCGAUUGGAUGAGCCGAUGUGGGAUUAGCUAGUUGGCGGGGUAAUGGCCCACCAAGGCGACGAUCCUUAGCUGGUCUGAGAGGAUGAUCAGCCACACUGGAACUGAGACACGGUCCAGACUCCUACGGGAGGCAGCAGUGGGGAAUAUUGGACAAUGGGCGCAAGCCUGAUCCAGCCAUACCGCGUGGGUGAAGAAGGCCUUCGGGUUGUAAAGCCCUUUUGUUGGGAAAGAAAUCGUUCAGGCUAAUACCCUGGGAGGAUGACGGUACCCAAAGAAUAAGCACCGGCUAACUUCGUG
rnacentral:rRNA from 1 species